UGAUCAAUGGCAGAGCUAGGAUUGGAACCUUUAAGUCAUAUGAAGUAACAUCACCCUAUGUCCCAGGGGGAAUCAGGCAGAGGGCCGGCUCCUGCCCCUGGGUCUCAGAUCUGGCCCAGAGGUUGGGCUACCCCAUCCCUUACGGGGUCUCAGAUCUGGCCCAGAGGUUGGGCCACCCCAUCCCUUACGGGGUCUCAGAUCUGGCCCAGAGGUUGGGCCACCCCAUCCCUUACGGCACUUUCUGUUAACGAAUACAAAGCUUCCUGGUACGGAGCUGCUGAUAGCCAGAGUUUUGCUUCUCUAAGGCAAUGUUUAAUCAGAAGGGAGCAUGGUGAA